rnacentral:rRNA from 1 species
UACGGGGGGAGCAAGCGUUGUUCGGAUUUACUGGGCGUAAAGGGCGCGUAGGCGGCGCAACAAGUCACUUGUGAAAUCUCCGGGCUUAACCCGGAGCGGCCAAGUGAUACUGUCGUGCUAGAGUGCGGAAGGGGCAACUGGAAUUCUCGGUGUAGCGGUGAAAUGCGUAGAUAUCGAGAGGAACACCUGUGGCGAAGGCGGGUUGCUGGGCCGACACUGACGCUGAGGCGCGAAAGCUAGGGGAGCGAACGGGAUUAGAUACCCCCGUAGUCC